GACAUCUAUAUUAAGGUAUAAAGGUCAAACUUACCUUUUGAACAUUGGGGUUGCUGAUAAUCUGCCUUUUGAUGCUGUUCUAGAAAGAGACCGACCAGUUCUUUUUGAUUUGUUGGAGCCAUAACAAAGCAGGCAGUGUAACGCUGUGGUAAACAGAAUGCAGGCCAUGCAAUCAAAUGAGCUCCUUUUCAAUGAGGAGUUGGCGACCACACCUGGGAAGUCUCGGAAAACCCACAGACAGAGAAGGCACAAGAAAUUCCAAAAGACAGUGACGACACCACCAACCAGCACUGAGCUAGAGUUGCCACUAGGGUUUCAAGUUCCAGGUAAUAUAAGUGAUAUGCAGAAAACUGAGCCGUCUUUGGUCUCUCUUUUCCAGAAAGCGAAGGAGGAGGAGUCAGAAGCUGAGUUAGACAUCAUAAGUGAUGAGAAUAUCCUGCAAAAUGGCAUCCUCUAUUGUCAACAACAAUCAACGUUGCAGCUCGUGGUUCCCCAAGCAGAUAGAAAUGCCAUACUUGCCUUGGGGCACUCAGUUCCCUGGGCUGGCCACCUGGGCCCACAAAACCACAGCUCGCAUUAAAAAACCAUUUCCACUGGCCUGGCCUGCACAGACAUGUUGCUCAGGUUUGUGAAAGUUGCCCUCAGUGCCAAAUAACAUCUGCUAAAACACACCCCAGAGCUCCACUUCAAACACUACCCAUUAUUGUGUUAGGAAUCAGUAAGGUUCUUCUUCAUCCGUAUCUGUCUGUUUUGUUGCGUACUUUGGACUGGUUUUCAUGGGGAGAACAGAGACUGGGGUUUAAGCUGUUUACUGGUUUGUCCGAUAGUCUUGAACACACCUUUCCUGAGGUGCGCUCAGAGCUGUGCCCUGUUGCUUUAAAUGACGUAAUACGACAGGUGAAGUGGCAGCUGAUGGAGGACCCGUAUGGACGCCAACUUCGACACUGUCGGACCUAACAGAUGACCCACUCCCAUGAACUUGUUUUAGAAACCAGCUGGCUAGCUUGUAACAAUUGGCACCCCAUUUGAGUGCCUUGGGAUGGACAUUUUUGGUCCUGUAGAGAGAACCAUAGCAGGGAACCAUUAUAUGCUGGUUAUAACAGACUAUGCCACCCAGUAUCCAGAAGUCUUUCCACUAAAAUCCAUAAAGGCAAAAGUAGUUGAUCUCUGUUUGGUACAAUACUUUUGAAGGGUGGGUGGACCUGAUGCUUUCCCUGGGGAUCAUUGAGUGGUGUAACCCAGUGAUGCACAUGCCAAAGAAGGAUGGAAGAAUAAGGUUCUGCGUUGAUUUCAGGAUACCCUGAGUCUUUGGGACCUUCACUAUCUGGUCAUGAUUCACUGUUGGCCCGUUCUGGUCGCUCAUGACUUUGAACUCACCACAGAGUGCUGCUCUGCCUCCAUGGUGGCCCAAGACAAAAGCUGCAUGAAGAUGAUUACACUGACCAAACAAGACUACUGUCAGAUCAACUCACUGUAAAUACGAUUUCUGCCCUCGAUGACUGUUUGUUACUCUCUGGAUGUGUCGUCAGUCUCCUGUCUCGUCCAGACAAAAAUAAACAAGGAAGAUAAUUAUGAUUCCAAAGGGGUGGAGAAUCUGAAGUCCCUGGUUUCCCACCACCGUCAGCUCCUGGACCUGCGCAAGAAAGAGGACUGCAGACUUUCACGUUCAGUCUUUAAGGUGUGUCUUCUGUGGAAAAACCCAUUUUACAAUAUACAAGUGUGUAAGAGAUGUUACAGGUGAACUCAUGAUAAGAUACGAUAUUCAUAUCUAUUUCUAACCGUAAAGUACUGAUGGUGUAAUGUUUAACCUUAUAAAGCAAAUGGACUGUAAAAAAAGGUUCAGGUGACAUUUGUCCCCAAUUAACUUUGUUAACUCUGGACACCUUGGUUGCCAAAAUGUACACACAAAAUCUGCAAUAAAAUGAUCAAUAUUUGCUUUUGUAUUUUGCUGUUUUUGAGCUUCUUGUUGUGCAGAUCUUGUUUUUACUUUCAUUGCCUGCUCAAAAACUAAUCAAGAAUGUGCUUCAGAGGCUUUGCCCGAGAACAGGUACUUAACUUUAUUUGGAUGCAUUUCUGUGUUUCCUCAAUUUUGUAAAAUAUUUCUAUUAAUAUUUUGUGUUCAAACUAUAUUAAAAAAUGCCCAUUGUUUCACAAAGGCUCAUCUUCUCUCUCCAGAUGCACUCAUAAAACAUUUAACCGGUUUCCACCGGUGGCGCUGCUCUGUAGUGACCCCGGCUGCCUCGUGCUAAGAACCCAAAGUAUUUAUAUACUAUAUUAUCGUUUGAUGUGAAGAAUGAUGUUGAUGGUUUUUUAUGACUGCAGCACAGGUGAAGAGCCAAAGACAAAUUUCUCACUUUGUGAGACAAUAAAGUUAAUUUUAAUCUUGAUCUUAAAACCAUCCCCUGUGACCACUUCUGCUCCCUGCA